AGAGUUUGAUCCUGGCUCAGGACGAACGCUGGCGGCGUGCUUAACACAUGCAAGUCGAACGGAGAACUUAGCAAUAAGUUCUUAGUGGCGAACGGGUGAGUAACGCGUAGACAACCUGCCUUCUAGAUGGGGACAACGUUCCGAAAGGAACGCUAAUACCGAAUGUCCUAUCGUUUCUGCAUGGGAAUGAUAGCAAAGGUGGCCUCUUAACAAUGCUACCGCUAGAAGAUGGGUCUGCGUCUGAUUAGCUAGUUGGUGAGGUAACGGCUCACCAAGGCGACGAUCAGUAGCCGGUCUGAGAGGAUGAACGGCCACACUGGGACUGAGACACGGCCCAGACUCCUACGGGAGGCAGCAGUGGGGAAUCUUCCGCAAUGGACGAAAGUCUGACGGAGCAACGCCGCGUGAGUGAAGAAGGUUUUCGGAUCGUAAAGCUCUGUUUUCAGGGACGAACGGCAGAAAUAUGAAUAAUAUAUCUGCAUGACGGUACCUGAGGAGGAAGCCACGGCUAACUACGUGCCAGCAGCCGCGGUAAUACGUAGGUGGCAAGCGUUGUCCGGAAUUAUUGGGCGUAAAGGGCGUGUAGGCGGGAUAAUAAGUCUGUUGUAAAAGUGCGGGGCUCAACCCCGUAAGGUCAAUGGAAACUGUUAUUCUUGAGUGCAGGAGAGGAAAGUGGAAUUCCCAGUGUAGCGGUGAAAUGCGUAGAUAUUGGGAGGAACACCAGUGGCGAAGGCGACUUUCUGGACUGUGUCUGACGCUGAGGCGCGAAAGCCAGGGGAGCGAACGGGAUUAGAUACCCCGGUAGUNNNGGCCGUAAACGAUGGGUACUA
rnacentral:rRNA from 1 species